rnacentral:tRNA from 1 species
UCCGAUGUGGUCUAGUGGUUAGGAUUUCCGCCUCUCAUAGCAAGAGCUGAUGAACGCGGAAGGCCGGGGUUCAAUUCCCCGCAUCGGAA